rnacentral:rRNA from 1 species
AUUGAACGCUGGCGGCAUGCCUUACACAUGCAAGUCGAACGGCAGCACGGGGCAACCUGGUGGCGAGUGGCGAACGGGUGAGUAAUGCAUCGGAACGUACCUUUCAGUGGGGGAUAACGUAGCGAAAGUUACGCUAAUACCGCAUAUUCUGUGAGCAGGAAAGCAGGGGAUCGCAAGACCUUGCGCUAAUGGAGCGGCCGAUGUCAGAUUAGCUAGUUGGUGAGGUAAAGGCUCACCAAGGCUACGAUCUGUAGCGGGUCUUAGAGGAUGAUCCGCCACACUGGGACUGAGACACGGCCCAGACUCCUACGGGAGGCAGCAGUGGGGAAUUUUGGACAAUGGGGGCAACCCUGAUCCAGCCAUGCCGCGUGAGUGAAGAAGGCCUUCGGGUUGUAAAGCUCUUUCAGUCGGGAAGAAAUCGUGUGGGCUAAUACCCUGCAUGGAUGACGGUACCGAACCAAGAAGCACCGGCUAACUACGUGCCAGCCGCCGCCGUAAAAC